rnacentral:lncRNA from 10 species
GAGAGGACCCAACAGCAUGGAUGGUGCAUGCUGAGCACUUCUCAAAGGAAAACCCAUGGCAGAGGAUUCGACGAAGCCUCAUCAUGGUUUUUGAGCUGCUGUGCACAGAAAGAAGACGGCACAUCAUUUGCCAGGCCCAGGCCGGCCAGCACAGACACAUGCCUCUGCAGCACUGUAAGACAUCAGUGAAGGCUGAAGCAUUUUGCCAUCUGGGCAGCGUGGGUGGUGUGCUUUAAGUCUGGUGCUUAUGUUUCUGGAAACAGACAUACAACCAUCAGGUUGGCUAAACUUUCCUCAUGCUUUGUAUUAGAAAGGGAGAGAAUAGAUUACAGGAGACAAUGACAAUGAUAAGAUGAUUUCUAUGGGUUACUGCAAUUCAACCCCUUGUAAUAACACAUUGAUUUCAACGUUUCCCCUACACAAAGAAUUCUCAUAUGUUGCUGAUGGUAAAUGAUGCCCCAAUAUUCAGUCAAUCUAGGCAAAAAUAAAGUCCACUAAAUGAAAGAAAAUCACUCAAGCUGAAUUGGCCUCAUAUAGAAAUGGCUCAAGGGUUAAGAGAGGGAGCACAUGCUAAGAUAAAGAUUACAGGGGAAAUUGUGUUUAUUUAAUCAAGGCCCAGAUGGGCUGAAGGCAGAAACACAGCGUCCUGAUUUGCAUAACUUUUUCUCUCUGAGCCAUAAGCAAGGGCUUUUCCAAUAUCCAAGGAUAACCUCUGAAUUCAAACAAAUCAUUCUUCUGACCUAUGGCCAAUCUUUCAGCCUCACACAGAUGUCUCCCUUUAUGUAUAAGGAAGGAAUAAUCAUAUCACUCAAACUCAAAUGUUCACUUGGGAUUAACUAAUAUUUAAAGUGCUCUUCUUUUAAGAGCCACGCCAUGCAAAAGGGAAGUGGCUUAUACAUAUAAUACAGCAGUUUAUGGAAAAAGACUCCAUGGUAUGGUGGAAAAAACACUUUUCUAACAGAGCAACCUGGAUCCCAGUCCUGGUCUGCCACGGUUUAGCAACAUGACCAUGGGUAACUCACAAAAACACUGAGUCUCAGUUUCCUCAUCUAUGAAGCAAAACAUCCUUAUCUGAGGAGUUUUUCUUUGUCAAAUUACUAUAUCACCAUGACCAAUGCAUACAUAUGUAUUACAUAUGAUAGUGAUACGAUUAUUCCUUUCAUAUAGAUAGACAGAAGAUAUAGAUAGAAAAUAGAUAAUAGAAGAUAUUGAUGGACGAAAGAAGAUAUAGACAUGAAUAGAUGAUAGAGGAUAUAGACACGUAUAGUUGUGAUAAUGUAGCAUAGUUUUUUCCCAAAAUGUGAUAAAAUAAAGAAAUGUUUGACCUAAAGACUUCCCAUUUUAUUGAAAAGUAUGAAAUAUAUUGAAAAAUACAAUAAAACUAAACUGAGCCAAAGUUGUUGCAGCAACUUUACAAUUGCCUAAGUUAAAGUCGUUUUCAAAUACUUAAGUGGCAAUAUGCACUAAAAAAUAGAAUCUUUGAAAUACAAAAUUGAAGAAAUGAUGCACUGAAAGUUAUAAAAUUAUUUGUGAAUUAAAAAUACAUAAAACAAUGUAGUGAAUUAAUCUUUAAAUGUAACAUAUAUUUAUUCACUUAUUUAUUUCAUUGGUAUUCGUGCAGCACCUACUAUGUGCCAGA